AAGACUAUACUUUCAGGGAUGGUUUCUAUAGUUCUUGGCUUGAGAAAUGUGUUUCUAAAGUGUAUGGUCAUGCUGUCCAUGAUGAUGAGUCGUGCUAUUCUUUUCUGAGGGUGAAGCGGAUAGAGUGUAAUGAUUUACUUUAUAUGCUCUCUAUGAUAUGCCUUUCCGUGAACCAUCACCUUAUCGUGGUGGAGAGGUUUGUGUGUCUCUGUGAA